GUGGGGAAUUUUGGACAAUGGGGGCAACCCUGAUCCAGCCAUGCCGCGUGCGGGAAGAAGGCCUUCGGGUUGUAAACCGCUUUUAUUUGGGAAGAAGGAGUAGGGGCUAAUACCCUCUAUGACGGACGGUACCGGAUGAAUAAGCACCGGCUAACUACGUGCCAGCAGCCGCGGUAAUACGUAGGGUGCGAGCGUUAAUCGGAAUUACUGGGCGUAAAGCGUGCGCAGGCGGUUCUGCAAGUCAGCUGUGAAAGCCCCGGGCUUAACCUGGGAACGGCGGUUGAAACUGCAGGACUAGAAUCUGGCAGAGGGGGGUGGAAUUCCACGUGUAGCAGUGAAAUGCGUAGAGAUGUGGAGGAACACCGAUGGCGAAGGCAGCCCCCUGGGCUAAGAUUGACGCUCAGGCACGAAAGCGUGGGGAGCAAACAGGAUUAGAUACCCCAGUAGUCC
rnacentral:rRNA from 1 species